UACGGAGGGUGCGAGCGUUGUUCGGAAUCACUGGGCGUAAAGCGCGUGUAGGCGGCCCACUAAGUCUGAUGUGAAAGCCCGGGGCUCACCCCCGGAAGUGCAUUGGAAACUGGUGGACUCGAGUCCCGGAGAGGAGAGUGGAAUUCCUGGUGUAGCGGUGAAAUGCGUAGAUAUCGGGAGGAACACCGGUGGCGAAGGCAGCCCCCUGGGCUAACACUGACGCUCAUGCACGAAAGCGUGGGGAGCAAACAGG
rnacentral:rRNA from 1 species